AAAAUCCGUCUCUCAAUACUAUAAAACCCCAUCCCACGGCCCUUUUCUCCUCUUUGUAGCUUUUGUAGCUAGAGAAGGAGAUCUCUCCCCUCUUGUUCUCCUUUCCUCUCCUCUCCGAUGGCCCCCGCCUCCACUCCCCCCAGCGACCAAACUUCUCCCGCCCCUCCGGCCCGUCGUCGCGAGCCCCGGCGGGCAUUUCGGUCAAUGUAGGGGCGCCGGACAUGGUGUAGCGGUAGAAGGAAGGCACACAGGAUGGAGCCAGGCAUUCCGGACGGAGGAACCACGCGCGGCGUCCAUUGGGGAAGAGACAACGACACACCGAAGCUUGGUGUACCAUCGCGCGUGUUGAAUCUGAGGUCUCUCUUUCGCCUAGCUGUAAGGUCCCGGUGGUUGCUAUUACUGCAUGUGGUUGCAGGUUGUGAUAUGAUGUUGAUGUAAUUGCGCCAUGCAUGUGUGAACACUCAUUCAUUAAUCAGAAUGAUUGCCGCUCAUGGUGUAGUGAUGCUUGAUGAACCUCUGAGACCAUGUUGCUGAAAAUUUUCUUUAUUAUCGAAAAUAACAGCAGUUUAAGCUAUGCUGAUUGGUGCUGAUAUCGGCCAUGAUGGGUUCUGAAUUUGGAAUCCUGCUUGUCUUGGUUAUUUAUGCGACAAAGUUGUCAUGAACAUUAUAGCAAAUAUAAUUCUGCUCGUUGGCUA